AACCAUAGAAACCUGCGGAGUACCUGCGGAAGGAUCAUUACAUUCAGUAGCCUAGCUACUUGUUUACACCCUUGUUUUUUUUGCGCACUUCAUUGUAUCCCUCGGCGGGCUUGCUCGCCGGUUGGACAACAUUUAUAACCUUUUUUAAUCUUCAAUCAGCGUCUGAAUUAUAUUUAAUAAUUACAACUUUUAACAAUGGAUCU
rnacentral:misc_RNA from 1 species